AACGAACGCUGGCGGCAUGCCUAACACAUGCAAGUCGAACGAGACCUUCGGGUCUAGUGGCGCACGGGUGCGUAACGCGUGGGAACCUGCCCUUAGGUUCGGAAUAACUCCCCGAAAGGGGUGCUAAUACCGGAUAAUGUCUUCGGACCAAAGAUUUAUCGCCUUUGGAUGGGCCCGCGUUGGAUUAGCUAGUUGGUAGGGUAAAAGCCUACCAAGGCGACGAUCCAUGGCUGGUCUGAGAGGAUGAUCAGCCACACUGGGACUGAGACACGGCCCAGACUCCUACGGGAGGCAGCAGUGGGGAAUGUUGGACAAUGGGCGAAAGCCUGAUCCAGCAAUGCCGCGUGAGUGAUGAAGGCCUUAGGGUUGUAAAGCUCUUUUACCCGGGAUGAUAAUGACAGUACCGGGAGAAUAAGCUCCGGCUAACUCCGUG
rnacentral:rRNA from 1 species